rnacentral:rRNA from 1 species
AACGAACGCUGGCGGCGUGGAUAAGACAUGCAAGUCGAACGGGACAGACCGAGUAGCAAUAUUUGGAAUGUUCAGUGGCGAACGGGUGCGUAACACGUGGAUAACAUUCCGGAAAGCGGGGAAUAGCCCAGGGAAACUUGGAUUAAUACCGCAUGUGGCCGCAAGGCUAAAGACGGGGACCGCAAGGCCUGUCACUUUCCGAUUGGUCCGCGGCCUAUCAGCUAGUUGGCGGGGUAAUGGCCCACCAAGGCUACGACGGGUAGCUGGUCUUAGAGGAGGACCAGCCACACUGGAACUGAGACACGGUCCAGACACCUACGGGUGGCAGCAGUCGAGAAUCUUUCACAAUGGGGGCAACCCUGAUGGAGCGACGCCACGUGGAGGAUAAGGUCUUCGGAUUGUAAACUCCUGUCAUGCGAGAACAAGGUACUCAGGCUAAUAACCUGAUUGUUUGAUGGUACCGCAAGAGGAAGAGACGGCUAACUCUGUGCCAGCCGCCGCGGUAACAC